AUGGGACACUAUUUUAUGUUUAGUCCUUUUGUUUCUUAUUAUAGAUGUAACUUGUGUUUUCCAGCUCCAAAUGUCCCACCCCCUCCUCCCCCGGUUAGCCCACCAGUGGGCUGGGGUGAUGUCAUCAUCCCCACCACCAGUAGCAGCAGUAGCAGCAAGAAGAGGACCCCCCCUCCGCCUUUGGUUAUCCGCCACAAGCGCACCUACUCAGAGCCCACCCCCCAAGUGCCCCACAGCCCCCAUUCCUCCAGACAGAGCCACGCAGAUUAUGGGGUACCAUCAAAUUCAACAGGCUACAGUGGUCCAGAGUCAUCCUUUCAGAAGUGUGUCUCAGGGUCUCCAAAAUACUCUGUGACUGCCCUCAACUCCCUAUCUGAACUGCCAGAGAGAGGAUUCCGCGCAGAUGGAGAAAGCAAAAAGUCCCACUUUGUCUAUCAGAGGCCAGCAGACAUGCCGUCCAAUGGGGCCUCCUCCCCCAAGGCAUCCCCACCCCAUGCCCAGGAGAGCACUGCCCAAGCCAAAAGUGAUGCGGGUCCAAGCCAUCUAUGGCUGUGUGGGUGACCACCAUGAUGAGCUCAGAGAGGACGAUGCUGAUUGGUGG
rnacentral:lncRNA from 8 species